rnacentral:tRNA from 1 species
AUAAGUAUAGUUUAAUUAAAACACUAGAUUGUGAUUCUAGAUAUAGAAGUUAAACUCUUCUUACUCAUC